rnacentral:rRNA from 1 species
GACGAACGCUGGCGGCGUGCCUAAUACAUGCAAGUAGAACGCUGAAGAGAGGAGCUUGCUCUUCUUGGAUGAGUUGCGAACGGGUGAGUAACGCGUAGGUAACCUGCCUGGUAGCGGGGGAUAACUAUUGGAAACGAUAGCUAAUACCGCAUGAUAUUAAUUGUCGCAUGAUAAUUAAUUGAAAGAUGCAAUUGCAUCACUACCAGAUGGACCUGCGUUGUAUUAGCUAGUUGGUGAGGUAACGGCUCACCAAGGCGACGAUACAUAGCCGACCUGAGAGGGUGAUCGGCCACACUGGGACUGAGACACGGCCCAGACUCCUACGGGAGGCAGCAGUAGGGAAUCUUCGGCAAUGGGGGGAACCCUGACCGAGCAACGCCGCGUGAGUGAAGAAGGUUUUCGGAUCGUAAAGCUCUGUUGUAAGAGAAGAACGGGUGUGAGAGUGGAAAGUUCACACUGG